AUACUUACCUGGCAGGGGAGAUAUCAUGAUCACGAAGGUGGUUUUCCCAGGGCAUGGCUUAUCCAUUGCACUACAGGUGUGCUGACCCCCGUGAUUUCCCCAAAUGUGGGAAACUUGACCACAUAAUCUGUGGUCGUAGGGGAAAAAAAUGUUAAAAGAAAAAAGAGGUAAUUUAUCCUCUU
ensembl:snRNA U1 U1 spliceosomal RNA